AUGCAUACACACACACACUAAAUACAGAAAUGUAAAAGCCACUAGGAUGCAAAAGAAAAUAAUCUCUGCACUUCCCAUCUCUGUGGCUGUUCACACUAAAUUGGGGAGUACAUAA
rnacentral:snoRNA from 1 species